rnacentral:rRNA from 1 species
AAAAGAACUUUGAAAAGAGAGUUAAAAAGUACGUGAAACCGUUGGAAGGGAAGCGAAUAGAGUUUGCAAUUCGCCUCGUCGCGCUUGUUUUUAGACGAAACUUGCACGCCCGCGUCACGUGACCGGUGCAUUUCCGCUUGGCGAAAGUCAGCGUCGGUUUGCGAGGAGCGAAAAAGCCGCAAGCACGGUAGGCCUCUUGGGAUCGGUAAGGCUUGUGUGCAAAUGGCUUCACGUAGACCGAGGUCUGCGGCAGCACGAACCUGCUGGUUGAUGUCCUCGUUUUUACGUCGGUUUGACGUUGCCGGACGGACGGCUUUGCCUGUGCGUCCGUGCGCGUCCCUUCGAACGAAUGAGAAAACAGACACGACGUGCUGAAGACGCUGCCUUCUGGCUGGCUCUAUCCGACCCGUCUUGAAACACGGACCAAGGAGUCUAACAUGUGCGCAAGUCUCAGAGUGAUCGAAACUCGUUGGGCGUAAUGAAAGUGAAUGCAGCUUCGGCUGCAAAGAUGAGAGGCUGCCGUAGCGGCAUCAUCGACCGACCUAUUCUACUCUUAGAAAGGUUUGAGUUGGAGCGUACCUGAUGGGACCCGAAAGAUGGUGAACUAUGCCUGAAUAGGGCGAAGCCAGCGGAAACACUGGUGGAAGCCCGUAGCGAUUCUGACGUGCAAAUCGAUCGUCGAAUUUGGGUAUAGCGGCGAAAGACUAAUCGAACCAUCUAGUAGCUGGUNCCCUCCGAAGUUNCUCACAGGAUAGCUGGAANUCGGUGGCAGUUU